rnacentral:rRNA from 1 species
UCGAAUGUUAAGAGCCUGUCCGAGGACAUCGUCGACUAACGGCAACGUCAAGCGCCCGGCAACGUACUAGGUCCGUAAAUCCGAGCGAGACGAGCCUGCCGACGAGCCAGAACGCACUUAAUGCGGCUCAAUACCGUUGUACAGAUAUCUAUACCGCCGAGCAGUCGGCAGGUAANNNGUCUGACGCAAAAACGCUAUGAACGCUAAGCGACAGUCUUUCAAUCGGACCGUAGGCCAACACCCAACGGGUCGCGACGUCCUACUAGGGGAGAAGUGCACGACGACGGUGUUAGACAUACCGCAGCGACUGCGUGUUCCGUGACCGAAAUCCGAACCAUCGCGAGCCUCAAGGAAGCCAACAGCGUCAACGAUGAAUCUCCCCGUUCGAUCUUUUGGGUUUCUCAGGUUUU